AACGAACGCUGGCGGCAGGCUUAACACAUGCAAGUCGAGCGCAUCCUUCGGGGUGAGCGGCAGACGGGUGAGUAACGCGUGGGAAUCUACCUUUUGCUACGGAAUAGCUCCGGGAAACUGGAAUUAAUACCGUAUGUGCCCUUUGACGGUGGACGUUGGAGGGGAAAGAUUUAUCGGCAAAGGAUGAGCCCGCGUUGGAUUAGCUAGUUGGUGGGUAAAGGCCUACCAAGGCGACGAUCCAUAGCUGGUCUGAGAGGAUGAUCAGCCACAUUGGGACUGAGACACGGCCCAA
rnacentral:rRNA from 1 species